AGAAUAUUGCAUCUUUUCUUUUUUCAGAGAUCUAUGUAUAGUUUGUUACAUUCUAUACCUGGAAAUUUCUCCAAAACUGCUUCCCACAUGAGUCCCAUGGCUCGGGAAUGGGGUGGUUCUGCUCAUUGACGGGGGUUGGCCAGAAACAGAAAAUGACAGCCUCAAAGGAGCCUGGGAUUUGUCAGUUAUGUUUUAUCAGUACUGUAGAGUUCAAACUCUUUCACAGUAUCUCUCCAUCUGAGGCGGCAGCGUGCUCUCUUACCAGCAUCAGGAGCUCAGGACCACAGGAUGGUGCGGGCUGAAUGCACUGCCGUCAAGACAGCUGUGCUAGUCACUGCAGGUGCCCUCACCUCCAGUAGCAUCCAUCCAGACACCAGCACUGACACUGGCCGUGCUCAGAACUGCCUCAGACCUGAAGACACAACUGACAAAUAAAAGGGGGCCACGCCCUGUUACAGCAGGUGCUCUCACUUUGUGGGUCCUUAUGUAACUGCACGAUGUUAAUCAGGAUCGCCCGUUCUACAUUGUGUAGCGCUGCUGCGGUGUCUCCUAGUUACUUGUUACUUGUAAGAAUUCCGGUGACUGAGUUAGAAGCAUGCUUCCAAGCUGUGCGUGUCCUCGGCAUCAAGAAGCGGA